UCCAGUAUAAAAAUGAUAAAAAAUUGUAUUUUCUAAAUAAAAGCUAAUAAGUAUAAAUUUCAUUGGAUUUACUGUUUUAUUGUCACAGUUGGGUUAAAAUAAGAAGAUUAAAAGUACCUAAAAUUUCACCUAUCUAUAAUUAUAUCAACGUUUAAUUUAUAAUACACGUUUUUGAGAGAAUAAUACAAUGCAUACGAAUGGAAUAUAGAUAAUAAUAUAAUUUUGUAACUAAUUGACUUUAUAUCUGAUAUAAUUAAAGUGUAGGUAAACGUUAGAGUAUUGUAUUGGAAUCGGUAAAUAGCAAAUAUUUUAUAUUUUAGAUUAGACAACAAUAUUAUAUCGAUAAUGAUACUAUACAAAAACAGUAGAGAAUCAUUAACUCAAUAAUAUGUUUGACAGUUUGCUACAAACCAUUGACAUUUAUUCUCUCUAUUUGUACUAAACACUUUUAAUUAGGGCUUUUAAGAAGGGGGUGAGUAAUCAUGAUUAAAUUUAACCAAAAUUACUUUCUUAUACUAAUGAACAAAAUAAGGGGGUGAGAAAUUAAAAAUAUUAAUGUUUUUUUUAAAUCUUUAACUAAGGGCUAUCUUAAGCAGACUAUUAUCACACUGCACAGAAAAGAUUCGACCGACCGUAGCUUACCAUCAUCGUAUUUACCUAUAUAUUUUUUUUCAUAAAAAUGCGAAGUGUUGAAUAAAUACUUUUGCCACGUUCUAUAUACAAAAUAAAGACCAAAAAUGUGUUCUCGUCUCUGUACAUAGGUGCAUAUGGUGUGCCUCACAUAUACCAUAUACGUAGCUCAUACAUAACUAUUUAUACAUAAAUAAUAAACACAAUAAUAACACACGUGCGACACUAUUGACACACUUAAUGAAAAAAUAUUUGUAUCGUAUCAUUGUCGUAGUCGCAAAUGUUUUAUUACGACGGCAAUCUGUUGGAACCUGGAUGGUUAUUUUAUGUGGAACCAGCGGCUGGCUCACAUUCGACCGUUUUCGCACAGUCGACAAACCUCUUGACGCAGCCACCGCCGCCAAGACGUCGCCAAUCAGACGCCGUCCAAGAGGCCUUUAGUCGACCGCUUUUGACCAGUCGCUGCAUGUACUGCACCACAGGCGACAACCGGCACACGAGUAAUUGUACGCAGGGCAAGCCGGCUGCGGACGUUUCGAGUCGAUCGGCCAAUGUGUCAUCAAUCGCCUCACCGGUCAGUGAUUUGAUCUGUAUAAAAAGUAAACAAAGAUAAUACAAAAUUAUAAACGGCCGUGUCUAAAUCUUGAACUUUAGUUCCGUUCUUCGAACAAGUAAAUAACGGUUAUCAGGGCGAAAAUAGGGGGUCAAAUUGACUAGUAAGUACUAGCCGAGUCUGGUAUUUAUUUUAGAUUCUAAUUAUGGCGAGAAAUAAAAUGGUUUGUAUUAUUGAGUACGUGUGAUUUUUAUUGUUCGUAACAUCUUUUCGCACAGCUAAUCAUUUUCAAAGUUUAAGGGUGGUUUCCGGUAGAAAAUUUUAUGUAGUUGGUACAGAGGCAUAUUCAGAAAUUUUUUUAGUGGAGGGCGACUAAUCAGUUACAUAUUACAACAUUACCACAUAACGAAAAUUAAAUAUUUCAAAAAAAAACUUCCCGAAACUUCAGGAUGACUGCAGCCUCUCAGUCCCCUUUGGAUACGCCACUUGAGUACAGAGAUCAUUGUAUGACUUCCUAUAUAGUUUUCGAUAUUUUGUUUUUGUUGUAAUUCAAUUAGAAAUAAUUUUAAAUUCCAAUUUUCACUAGAUAUUUAAAUGAACACGUUAUAGACGAUCGAACAAUUUUCAAAAUAUUCUUGUUUUGUGUGUUAUUAGCUUUCCUCUAAAUUGUUUUUUGUUAACAAUGAUUUAUCGUUGCUUACCUACAUAAGUGGGUAUCUGGUACAAUUGGUAUACACAUUAAAUAAUUCUAUGUAUCCUACCUUCCUAACUUUCCAUCUACAACAAUCGCAUCAUUUAAAAAUGACCUCUUUAAAGUAUUUAAGGUAGUAUUUUACAUUCUAUGUCCACCUUCAUUUAUCCAACUAUAAUUCACCCUACAGCAUAAUAAUAAUAAAUCAAUGAAUAUGAAUUUUUAGAUUAUGAGUGUAGCGAAAAAUGAAUUGGUUUUAUUAAGAUGUUUAUUUUUUUUUUUAUCUUAUGUACGAAAAUUCGACCAUAAAUCUUGCUCAGAUAUAUACGCGCAGUACCAUUUCUGAAAGGGAAUGUUGUCCAGAUGGUACUUUUAGCAGGCCAAUUUUUGAUUUUCCAAGCGGUUUUCAUAAUAUCUGUGUAAAACCAGGAUAAAACGUAAGAAAAACGGGAAAUGUACAAAAUUAAUGCCUUUAUUAUUUUAUCAAUUUUGUUAUUUGUUGUAAUUCAGUUAAAAAUAUUCGUAGACUUGAAAUUUGUACAAAAUGCUCAUAUUUGCCUUUUCUAGAUGUGGCCAAAUGUUUAAAACAUUUGAGCUAUUUUAAAAAAAUUGUUAAUAUUUUUGUUAAAGCAUUUUUGUUAUUUGACUAAGCAUCACUAUCAACUGAACUCCAUUCAGAAUCAUUUUUUCGUUAGUAAUGGUUUAUCGUUGCUUACAGGUAUACAUUAACAGUAGUUACAUCCGUCUCCAUUUUCCUAGAACGUCUUUUUUAUAUUCAAGCCUAUUAAACUGACAAAUUAUUACAGAAAUCAAACGAGCUAAAGGGUUUGAAGUUCUUCAAAUCUUCCAGUGUAAAUAGCGAAAUAUGUAAUUAUACUUACAUACGGAUUGUUCGAGAUCCAAUCUAUGGGUCGGCCUCCGGAAACAUACUCAUUGGUUUCUUGGCGGUCGGUCAUCAUUGUUACGAUCUGUGAAAAUAAUAUUCUAGUUUGAGUAAAUACCUACUUUAAUUUUCUACCAUUUCAUACUUACAGUUUGUGUCAGAAGUACCAACCCAUUGACUACGACUGUUUUCAAAGCGUUAACAUUGCGUCCAACAACAGCGGAUGACGCCCGAAUCAACGUCUUUAUUGAUAUGUUAAACGGAGAGACAGCGGGAUUCUUGUCAUCUCCGUCACUUUUAACAGACCGUCCCACCAAGUCGGCCACUAAUACGGACAUUGUUUCAAAAUCCCGACACAUUUUAUUUUGAUUACUACUGUUCGAAGAUAAACAUUGUUGUUCACCAAUGCCAAUUGUAUGUUUGAUGGUGAUUAAAAGAAUACAAAUGUUCGAUAAAAAACCCAUUUCAAUGAAAUCAAAAAAAAAAUCUAGUUUAUUUUUUCAUUAUGCAUAAAAAAAAAUCUAAAUACUACAAAGAACACUAAAAUAUGGAAUACUUAUAUACUGAGAAGAGCAUACAAUGUAAAUGAUAACUGCAGUAAGUUUUUUACUAUAAUUGUAAUGGUGGCUAAUUAUUUAGAUCACUAAACCAUUUAUAAUAUUACAAACAGUUACAAUAAUAAUAUUAUACUACUUACAGUUGCUAAUUUAGAUCAUAAUGAUAAUGUUCUUAAUAUACUUUUUGUCAAUUAAAAAUAAGUGCAUGUACUUAUUACACAAUUAUGAGUAUGAAAAUGUUACUGAAUUGAAUGUACAUGGACACAUUAAUGUUACUACAAUACAGACAAAUUAGGUAAUUCUUAAAUAUUGAAUAAAUACUUAUAUAAAAAAUUUAUUCUAUAUGAAUACAAAAAUAAUUUAGAACAAGACAGUCUUAUAAAAGUAUAUAAUGGCAGUAUGGCACAACUUUUCAAAAUGGACAGAAUCAAAUAUAAAAAUAUGAAUGGUUUUUUAUUCUGUAACAUUUUUCUAUUUAGUUGUGGACAAUAAUCAUCACAGACAAAUGUAUUUAUUUAUAUACUUUUACUUCAAGCAAUCAUUAAUUGUUUUUUAAAAAAACUCUUAACCAGAGUAGUAUUAAUACAUUCUCUAAGCACCGUAGGUACGACCCGACAAAUUAAUACAAAAUUCUUAAUCAUAUUUAACUUGGUUUUGUAAUAAAAUAUGUAACAUAGAAUAAACUUAAAACUAACAAUACUUAUGAAAGGCAUAAUUUAACAAAAAUUUUUAAAAACACUUAGAAUAUUGUAAAAAUGUGAAGAAAUCAGUACGUAUCUAAAACUGGAUGAUUAAAUAUUAGUAAUUGAUUAUUAGUAUUUAAAUAUUAUUUACAUUUUUGAAAAAAAAAAAAAAGGAAUUUUGUCUUACAAAAAGCAAAUAUAGUAAAUUAUUGUAUAAUAUGUUCAUUUUUGAUUCUAAAUGGUUCUAUUUAAAUUAAUAUUUAACCAAAUAAAUAAUGUUAUGUUAUAACACAUUUUUCUAUAAAAUCAAGGAAAACACAAAUAUAUUCAAAAUUACUAUGACUUUAUUGAAUAAGAGUAGUUAUUUCUAGAUGAGUGAAAUUAUCGUUUACUGCAAUUUUACUUAUAAAAAAUAACAGAUAACUGCUGUAUAAUUGGCAUAUUGAGCAUGGAUUAUGUUCAAAACAGAAUUUUCUUAAAUUUUAUGGCGUGAUGUACGAUUACACAAUAAUAAAAUUGACCAUUAGUAUCAAUAAAUAAGUCACUUUAGUUUCAUACUAAUAUAAGCUGUUAUUUUAAUAAAAUAUUUCUUUAUGUUAAAAAAUAUCUAAAAUGUAUUGUGUUGAGAACAUUUUAUCAUUAACAUUAAUAAGUUUUUUCUUCAUGGGAUUUUUUUAGAGAUAUAUAUGUAUAUAUAAAUAAUAAAAUGUUUUACGCUUUCCUUUUUUGUUUUAAAAUUUUUUAAAAAUUAAUAUUUUUGCUUGUGAAUAUGGAAUGAAAUAGCUGCCCUUCGAUCAUGCCUACAAUAGGUAUGUUUAGGUGAUUACCUGGUUGUAUUCUUUAUCAGACAUAUUUAAAAGAUGUCGGUCAACAGUAUUAAUGAAAUAGCCAAAACACGCCUAAUAGCAUAUUCAAAAAGUUAAAAAAAAAAAAAUUGUAUACAAUUAUCAAAGAAAAGUUAAUGGCAUCAACAAAAAUUAUCAAAAUUUAUGUUAUUUUAAUUAUGAUAAAUAAAUUACCUAUUUAUUUAUUUUUUGAUUUACUGUUGCACAUAACAACUCAUAUAAAAAAUCUUAUUUUAAACUUACCGUCAAUCUGUUGACGGAAAUUAAAAAUGUAAAAAUUAAAAUGUAUCGAAUUUUUUAACUAUUUAUUUCUUGAAUUUUCUGAAAAAUUGUCUACAAAUUACAAAAAAAAAUGAUACUUGACGAGAUAAUGAGCAUCUAAUAUUAUUUUGAUCACUUUGUAUAUACAGAUAUACAGAGUAAUAAGUCAAUGUUGUCACACAUUUUAUGUAAUUGCAUUUUUAAAAAUGUAAUCAUUAAAUAAUACCCUAUAUAAUUUUAUCACCAAUCCCAUUAAGUUAUUAAAUAUCACAAUUAUUGGUUUUGAAAGAUCAUCAAAAGAAGUUAUAAGAAGAAUAAAGGAUAGGAGAGAUAUAGGAGUUAAAUUUAGUUUAAAAGUUAUUGGGUUAGAGUUCCAAAUUGACUUAAGAAUUAAAGUUCAUACUGAACACAUAAAAUAAUACUUUUUGAUAUUAAUGAUCACAAAUUAUCAUCAAUUUAAUAAUUAAUUCCUAAAAUCAUAAACUGGUCAUGGCAGGCGGAUGAGCAUAUGCUUUAGGUAUAAAACCAUAUUUUCUUGUUUUUGGUGCAUAUGUCCAUAACCAUCCUUCAACCAUUUGAUUGUCUAGAUCGGCAUAAAUCCAUUCACCUCGUUUGACUGAUAGAUCAUCUGGUGCUUGAGGCU